CUGGCCGCUAAGGGAACGAAUUUAAAUCUAAAAAUGUCAUUCAUCUUGCAAAACAUAUCAUUGGGGAAGACAACUGGCCAUAGUGCUGAGUUCAGUGCUUUGAACAACAUUAAUAAUGCAGGCAGGGUUCUGGCUAAGGGACUUGGGGACUAGAAAAAGCAUUCAUCAUUCAUUGGCUCGUUAUUCAACACACUUCUCAAGGGUCUGUGAUGGGCUGGGCAUAUAUCAGGGCUUAGGCAUACUCAGAUUAAACAGACCCAGCCUCUCUUCUUGUGCAGUUUAUGGUAUUCAUUCCACAAGAUAUGGAUUUUUAGGAGCCCUAAAUCCGCGGGUCCCUGUAUAAAAUGGUGUAAUGUUUGCAUAAAACCUACAUAUCUCUCUUCAUAUACCUUAAAUGACCUCUAGAUUGUUUACAGUUAUCAAUGUAGUGCCAAUGUUAAGUGACUAGCUAUUGAAUACUACCCAGGGAAUCAUGUUUAUAUACAUUCGGCACUGACACACAUUUUUUCCUAAUGCUUUUGAUCUAUAAUUAGUUGACUCUAUAGAUGGAUGUGGAAAGUUGAAUGACUGUUUUUAUUUUUUACUUCAUUUAACCUUUGAGACAGGGCCUCUUCACGCCCAGGCUGAGUGCAAACUUCACUUGUAACUGAGGAUGGACAUCAACUUGUAGCCAUCCCGCCUCUUCCUCCUGAAAGCUGGAGUUACAAGGCCUGCCACUCAAAGUUCUGUCUAUGGAGACUUUGAGAGAGGACUGGGCAGUUCCUUGAGAAAACACUGUUGCUCCUGUCAGUGAACUUGAGUCCAUCUCAUAUGCCAAGCAUGAAGAGAAGGUGUUAUACGGACACAAGGUGAGGAGAGACACAGAUACGCCUGUCUCCAUGGACUUAAAGAACCUGCAUAGCCGUCUGUGCCAAGCACAUUGCUGCAUUUUAAAGAAUAAUUGGUCCAACUUGAGAGACCUAUCCCAUGAGAGAGAGCCCCUGACACUGUUACUGAUUCUCUGCUAUACGUGCAGACAGGAGCCUAGCAUAACUGUCUCCUGAGAGGUUUCAUCAAGCAGCGGAUGGAAACAGAUGCAGACAACCCACAGUCAAAGCUUGGGGAGUCUUAGGGAAGAGUAGAGGAGUAGAGUCCAGACUGAGUGAGCUGGAAGGGUCAAGGACUCCUCAGGAAAACCUACAGAGCCAACUAACCUGGGCCCAUGGGGGCUCAUAGAGACUGAACCACCAACCAAAGAGCAUGCAUGGGCUGGAUCUAGGCCCCCCUACACACACAUGUGUAGCAUCUGUGUAGCUUGGUCUUCAUGUGGCUCCCUAACAAUUGGAGCAGGGGCUGUCUCUGACACCGUUGCCUGUCUUUGGAUCCUCUUUCCCUAGCUGGACUUCCUGGUUGGGCCUCAGAGAGAGAGGAUGUGCUUAGUCCUGCUGGGACUGGAUGUCCUUGGGUGGAUGGUACUCAAGGGGAGGGGGUAAGUGGAGGAGGGACCUGUGAGGGUGGGACUGGGAGGAGAGGUGGAGGGGGGCUUUGAUGGGGGUGUAAAUUGAACACAUAACUAUGUAAAUCAAUGGGAAAAAAAAGAAUCUAACCUAAAAGUAAUGCAUAUGUCUACUGUGAUACAAGU
rnacentral:lncRNA from 1 species